UGAGGAAUAUUGGUCAAUGGGCGAGAGCCUGAACCAGCCAAGUAGCGCGCAGGAAGACGGCCCUACGGGUUGUAAACUGCUUUUAUGAAGGAAUAAAGUCACCCACGUGUGGGUGUUUGCAUGUACUUUAUGAAUAAGGACCGGCUAAUUCCGUACCAGCAGCCGCGGUAAUACGGAAGGUCCGGGCGUUAUCCGGAUUUAUUGGGUUUAAAGGGAGCGUAGGCCGCCUGGUAAGCGUGUUGUGAAAUGUCGUUGCUCAACAACGUCACUGCAGCGCGAACUGCUGGGCUUGAGUGUGCGGAAAGCGGGCGGAAUUUGCG
rnacentral:rRNA from 1 species